rfam:Otolemur garnettii contig046152, whole genome shotgun sequence.
GGAUGUGAGGGCAAUCUGGCUGUGACAUCUGUCACCCCAUUGAUUGCCAGGGUUGAUUCAACUGAUAUGGCUGGCUAGGCGGGUGCCCCCUUCUCUCUCACUGCUCAAUGUGUGUCCCUCCUGAAGCUGUGUGCUCGGUUGAAGAGGACAACCUUCCCCAAUAGAGGAGGACCAUUCUUUGGUCAAGGGUAUGUGAGUAGCUGUGCUCCCCUGCUAGAACCUCCAAACAAGCUUUCAAGAAUCAUUGGUUCUUACUGAUAUCUUAGAAGUAAGCAUUCCUGCGAAUUAUGUAUACCCUGUCGUGAAAGAUAACCUUUACUACAUUAGUCA